rnacentral:rRNA from 1 species
GUAAUAAUAAAUAGCCGCAAUUCGUGCUAAGGUAGCAUAAUCAUUUGUCUUUUAAAUGAAGACUAGAACAAAAGACUUAACAUUUUAAUAUCUCUUUUUAAAAAUUUAAAUUAAAAUUUUCCUAAAUGUAAAAAGACAUUUAUUAAUAAAAAAGACGAAAAGACCCUAUUAAACUUAACUUAAGUUAAACUGGGGAAGUUAAUUAAUUAAUAUUUUAUAAAUAAAUAUAAAAAUAUUUAUCUAUUAUAAUUAAUAAAUAAUGUUACUAUAGGGAUAACAGCAUAAUUAUUAUAUAAAGUCCUUAUUUAAAUAAUAGUUUAUGACCUCGAUGUUGAAUUAAUUUUCUAAUUAAAGCAAAAUUUAAAUAAAGAAAGUCUGUUCGACUUUUAAAAAAUUACGUGAUCUGAGUUCAG